CAGUCGCCGCGGGAAUACGGAGGGCGCGAGCGUUACCCGGAUUUACUGGGCGUAAAGGGCGUGUAGGCGGCCUGGGGCGUCCCACGUGAAAGGCCACGGCUCAACCGUGGAGGAGCGUGGGAUACGCUCAGGCUAGAGGGUGGGAGAGGGUGGUGGAAUUCCCGGAGUAGCGGUGAAAUGCGCAGAUACCGGGAGGAACGCCGAUGGCGAAGGCAGCCACCUGGUCCACUUCUGACGCUGAGGCGCGAAAGCGUGGGGAGCAAACCGGAUUAGAUACCCCCGUAGUCCCUGUCUCUUAUAC
rnacentral:rRNA from 1 species